UAUAAUACUUGCUGGUCUAG
rnacentral:tRNA from 1 species